UAACAUUUCACUUUACAAUGUUUGGUAAACAAUAACAAAAAAAAAUUAUAACGAAAAAAAAGGUCUCGAGCAACCAUCUUCUUCUCCUCUCUCUAUACUCGAUGUCUCCGAUCUACACAUCCACCGUCACCAUCGCUUUAAAUGAACCGUCUCCCGCACCCUCCUCCCCUUCGGCCAUCUCCUCCUCCGACCCACCUCACCCAAACCCUAAUCACCUUCAAUCUAACAUGCAUGCCUUUCUCACCUAUGAAACUCGAAUUGAAGAUUUCCCUUCAACAAGCUAGUUGUCUUCAGCACGAAAACGUCUUGGGUCCAGCUGUACAAUUCCGCACAAAGAAGCUGCGUUGCAAUGUUGUGACGAGGUUGAUCCAUUGGCAAAAGUCUGGUUUCCUAAUAACCACCAGAUAAUUUAGGUAGUAAUCCUAAUCACUAUUAGAUAGAAUAUAAAUAGCCAUAUUGUUUCACCCUGAAUGCUUGAUUUAUAUUUUCUUAAAGUCUAUAGGAGUCGUGAACACUAUACUAAGAAGAAAAAGCGAUGGAAAGUUGGUAGGUUACUACAAUGAUUGUAUUGGUUCCAUUUCUUCUAUUGAGGAUGGCCUACGAAGCUCAAGUGAUCCAAGCAGUGAACCUUCUUCUUCUUCGCCAUUAGCUGGUAAAACAGUGGUGGUUAUUGGUGCUGGUGGAGCAGGCAAGGCACUUGCUUAUGGUGCAAAAGAAAAGGGGGCCAAAGUUGUAAUUGGUAAUCGAACUUACGGGACAAUCCGAGACUCGACCCUCAACAGUCUCAUUCUCAUCUUCAUUUGUGUGUUGGUAUAUUUAUGUUUGCUUCUGUUGAUGAUGUGUAUGUUUUGUUGCCACUAUUGACGAGAUCAUGUUCAUGAGGUAUAGAGCAAAGAAGAGACAAAUUAACUCUUCUAUGAUUCACAACUUUCAGGUGUGUGUGUGUGUGGAAACUAUGCAGUUUGUUGACGACUUUCAAAGGUAUUAGAAGCACAGUGAGCAGCUGAAAAGAAAUACUUACGUUCAUUAUCACGGAGUGUAUCAAAGGUUGUUAAGGAUGCUGGUGUUAUUCUUCCAAAACUUUUAAGUUACAAAAAUUAGUUAUUUAUUUUAUGUAAUAUAACUAUGUAUGUAAAAUCUGUUUUGUGGAAUGCAUGUUCUCCAUAAUUUAUAUAAUAUUUUUAUAUAUAAAUCCCAUUAAAUAAAUUUUGUAAA